GGCGAGAAGGUCACACCCGUUCCCAUACCGAACACGGAAGUUAAGCUUCUCAGCGCCGAUGGUAGUUGGGGGCUGUCCCCCUGUGAGAGUAGGACAUUGCCAGGC
rnacentral:rRNA from 1 species